GGGGAACGGAAAGAUGAAGGGAGCGCAGCAAUGCAACCAGGCCGUACUGCUCCCCGGCAUGCAACCACUAUUAUACCCACCGGCCUAUCCUCUCUGCGUGCAUGUGAAGGUACACAGGGACAGGGCCAGCUAGCUCGGUGUAUUAUCCUCGUGCAUUCUCUUUUUUUUUCUGAUGAAAUAAAAAUCCUCGUUGCAUUCACUGCAUGCAUCUCAAUGCCGCGUACUAUGAGAAAGCAUAUAGCAGAUAUUGUCGC
rnacentral:lncRNA from 1 species